GUUACUUAGUUCAGUGGUUAAGACAUUGGACUACUGAUUAGAAGGUUCCGAGUUCAAAUCCCAGAUCAGGGCA